GACGAACGCUGGCGGCGUGCCUAAUACAUGCAAGUUGAGCGCUGAAGGUUGGUACUUGUACCAACUGGAUGAGCAGCGAACGGGUGAGUAACGCGUGGGGAAUCUGCCUUUGAGCGGGGGACAACAUUUGGAAACGAAUGCUAAUACCGCAUAAAAACUUUAAACACAAGUUUUAAGUUUGAAAGAUGCAAUUGCAUCACUCAAAAAUGAUCCCGCGUUGUAUUAGCUAGUUGGUGAGGUAAAGGCUCACCAAGGCGAUGAUACAUAGCCGACCUGAGAGGGUGAUCGGCCACAUUGGGACUGAGACACGGCCCAAACUCCUACGGGAGGCAGCAGUAGGGAAUCUUCGGCAAUGGACGAAAGUCUGACCGAGCAACGCCGCGUGAGUGAAGAAGGUUUUCGGAUCGUAAAACUCUGUUGGUAGAGAAGAACGUUGGUGAGAGUGGAAAGCUCAUCAAGUGACGGUAACUACCCAGAAAGGGACGGCUAACUACGUG
rnacentral:rRNA from 1 species